AGGAUUGAUUACUCUCUCUAAAAUAAGUUUAUUUUGUAAUUUUGAUUGGUUGAUGUCUCUUCUCCUUCACACUCGGCUCCAGAUUUUCUUCGACAGCUCCCUUCUCCAUCCUCUUCCUUCUUUUCCUCCACGGCGCCCUGCCAAGGUCACCGCAGUAUUCGUCGCGCGCCUCACCCAGCCGAGUAGAACGUCGUCGCGUCAGAGAGCGUCGCCGUCUUCCUCGUUCCAGAGAGCAUCGCCGUCUUUCUCGUUCUUCAUCACCGUCGUCAGCCUCUCCCUUUCGAAUGGAGCAAAAUGUAAUAAUCCUGGUUGGCUAAUUACCUUGUGGUUGGUCUUGAACCAAUCACCAAUGAACAAAGUGAAAUCACUAGCAGGGUUUGGAUAAGGGAUUGGGAUGACAGAUCUGUGAUAGAUAUUGAGUCCUCCAAAUCCUCCAGCGGCUUUGUGAAAUGCAGUUGAUGGAAAGUAGGAAAAGGCAUUGGUGAAGAUGAUGGCUGUUUGAUGUACCUAUCAUCGAAUUACUGCAAGUGCCUAUAAUCUUUUAGAUGUGGUUCUUUACCAAGCAACUUAUGGUAAUCAUGUGAAGAUUCUGUUAUAUUUGCUUCUCAUGUAGUGUAGAAAGUAGAGUCUAUCCAUCAUUAUUGUUGCCAAUGAACUUGUUCGAGUUUUGCUUAUUUAGGCCACAAUCUAUCAGCAAAAGGCGGUUGAUAUAAAUGAGAGGGAGAGCUUGGGCUUGAUCAUCCUGACACAAUAAAAAGCUAUGGGGACCUUUCUGUCUUUUACUAUCGUAUGCACCAAUACGAGCUCGCUUUGAAAUACUUCUACCAAUAAGUGAACAAAACCUUCAACGUGAAGAUGCACCAAGCAAUGUGGGUGUUGUCUAUAAUGGCUUGGAAUAUGCUACUGGUACGGCAGAAAACAAAACAAAAGAAAGAUCUGGCAUGGUGGAUUAUGAAGUUAUGAACGAAAAUGGCAAUAAUGUCCCUAUGUAUAGUCCACCAGUGUCAAGUGAAUCUAUUCACCAGGAGGAGACAUCAUCAGAUGAGGGCUGGCAAGAAGCCAAUUCAAAAGGGCGAUCUAGGAACAAAUUUUUCUUUUCUAUUUAAUAAAAUAAAAAAGGAAUUGAACUAUAACCACAUAAUUAACAAGGUUCUUUUUUUA